GAAAGGGGAGGAUUUACCAGCCCUGUGGGUGGGGGUGGAACCUGGGAUGUGCUGCUGUUACGGACCCUGGGCUCAGCAACCUACCCUCCACUUCCCUUCCCCCCACGCCUCCGCCCAACACACACGCACACACAGUCCAGCCUCCCACCGGACACCUAACCUCAGUCCCCCCUGCAGCGCCAGGAGGAAUAAGUCAGGAGUGACUCCAAGACCAAGUAUUG
rnacentral:lncRNA from 1 species